AACGAACGCUGGCGGCAGGCCUAACACAUGCAAGUCGAACGGGCGUAGCAAUACGUCAGUGGCGCACGGGUGAGUAACGCGUGGGUACCUGUCUGAUGGUAGGGGAUAACCGCGGGAAACUGCGGCUAAUACCCUAUGUGUCCUUCGGGACAAAGAUUUAUCGCCAUCAGGUGGGCCCGCGUAGGAUUAGCUAGUUGGUGAGGUAACGGCUCACCAAGGCGACGAUCCUUAGCUGGUCUGAGAGGACGAUCAGCCACACUGGGACUGAGACACGGCCCAGACUCAUACGGGAGGCAGCAAUGGGGAAUAUUGGACAAUGGGGGCAACCCUGAUCCAGCCAUGCCGCGUGAGUGAUGAAGGCCUUCGGGUUGUAAAGCUCUUUUGGCGGGGACGAUGAUGACGGUACCCGCAGAAUAAGCUCCGGCUAACUUCGUGCCAGCCGCCGCCGUAAUAC
rnacentral:rRNA from 1 species